CAUGGCUUCAAGGGCCAGAUAUGGAUUGGGAACUCCCAAGUCGCUAUGUAGAUUUCUCAGGUCUCUCUGCUUAUUUAGACCCAUCAGAUCUGUCCAUUGAACAUCUCCAUUUAGCUAUUUUCAUUAAAAUUAGGUCCAGCCGAUCCUCCCCCUCGGUCACCGGCAACAACCUCACUGUUCUUGCGCCUCUCAAAUGCAUUGUCCACGUCUACACUGACCAGCAUGGUGGCCAUCAAACACAUGUGGUUAUUACUAAGUACUCAAAAGGUGGCUAGUCCAAACGGAGGUGCGCUCUCCAGCUACCUCGGGAGCCUGUGGAAAAGCUGCAUUCAAAUCGAUAGCCUCAUCAAUAAAUAAAGAGUCAACACAUCCCGUCUCCAGCUCAGGGCUCCUUCAGGAAAAUUGACCCUCGACCCACUUCUGCUCACCCAUUUCUGGAUUUCUGCAGAGGCUGCCAGAGGGAAGGGACCCUUACAGGUCAUCUUGGGUAUCCCCCUGCCUCCAGGCUGGCCUGCCAUGUACCCCAUCCAAGAAGGUCUAGGCCAGGCCCAUGCCCUCUGCCCGCCACCCCCACCACCUCUCCUGGCCAGCUCCUUCCUCCCAGUCCCCUGGGGCUACUACCUUCAUUCCCUCACCGCCAGUCAACUCUCCCCUUUCAGCUCCGGCUUUGCGUCUCAUCUCUUCCGACUCCAUGUCUUUCGUCUGACUACUGCUUCUCAUCAAGUGGAAUCACCAGCAGAAGAGCUCCCCACUCCCCUGCAGUCUCCCCUCUAUAUCCACCCAUCAGACUCCUUGUCAUCCACUAAAUGAGCCCCUCGGGGUCGGACAGAGAAAAUGCAUCCCUGGGAGCAACGGAUAGAGACCUUGUAACUUUACAGAACAGAUAAUGUGUCAGCAGGUUGACUGCGAGGCAGCCCUUUCUCUCUCUGACUUCUGUUACAACAGAGACUCUUCUAGGAAACGCAAGUCUCCAGUAAAGCAAGUUCAUUGUUUCAGACCCCAGAGACCAACAGAGUGGUCACCCACGUAUGACGAUGGGUGGCUGCCUUCUGGGUGGGCCUUGCCACACCUCAAGGCCUCCCCUCUGCUUGGCUGCCUCGGUCUCCCCUCACCCUCCCUAGCCAGAACAGAGAACAUUCCCCCACCUAAGGAGGCCUACGGGCUGCUGGGGUAGUUAGCGCAGAGAAGGGAGUUGUAGGGUUGUGACAGCCUCUCUGUUCUGAGUACUUGGCCACUACGCUCCAGCAGAUCCCUGGGGACUGAACAUUCCUUUAAUUAAA